rnacentral:rRNA from 1 species
AUUGAACGCUGGCGGCAGGCCUAACACAUGCAAGUCGAGCGGAUGAAGGGAGCUUGCUCCUGGAUUCAGCGGCGGACGGGUGAGUAAUGCCUAGGAAUCUGCCUGGUAGUGGGGGAUAACGUCCGAAAACGGGCGCUAAUACCGCGUACGUCCUGAGGGAGAAAGUGGGGGAUCUUCGGACCUCACGCUAUCAGAUGAGCCUAGGUCGGAUUAGCUAGUUGGUGGGGUAAAGGCCUACCAAGGCGACGAUCCGUAACUGGUCUGAGAGGAUGAUCAGUCACACUGGAACUGAGACACGGUCCAGACUCCUACGGGAGGCAGCAGUGGGGAAUAUUGGACAAUGGGCGAAAGCCUGAUCCAGCCAUGCCGCGUGUGUGAAGAAAGUCUUCGGAUUGUAAAGCACUUUAAGUUGGGAGGAAGGGCAGUAAGUUAAUACCUUGCUGUUUUGACGUUACCAACAGAAUAAGCACCGGCUAACUUCGUG